rnacentral:rRNA from 1 species
GACGAACGCUGGCGGCGUGCUUAACACAUGCAAGUCGAGCGGUAAGGCCCUUUCGGGGGUACACGAGCGGCGAACGGGUGAGUAACACGUGGGUGACCUGCCCUCAGCUCUGGGAUAAGCCUGGGAAACCGGGUCUAAUACUGGAUAUGACUCCAUGACGCAUGUUGUGGGGUGGAAAGCCUUGUGCGGCUGAGGAUGGGCCCGCGGCCUAUCAGCUUGUUGGGGGGUGAUGGCCUACCAAGGCGACGACGGGUAGCCGGCCUGAGAGGGCGGACGGCCACACUGGGACUGAGACACGGCCCAGACUCCUACGGGAGGCAGCAGUGGGGAAUUGUUCGCAAUGGGCGCAAGCCUGACGACGCAACGCCGCGUGGAGGAUGAAGGUCUUCGGAUUGUAAACUCCUGUUGCCCGGGACGAAUAGCUCCGACCUAAUACGUCGGGGUCUGACGGUACCGGGUGAGGAAGCCCCGGCUAACUCUGUGCCAGCAGCCGCGGUAAC